GAUGAACGCUGGCGGCGUGCCUAAUACAUGCAAGUCGAGCGAACGGACGAGAAGCUUGCUUCUCUGAUGUUAGCGGCGGACGGGUGAGUAACACGUGGAUAACCUACUUAUAAGACUGGGAUAACUUCGGGAAACCGGAGCUAAUACCGGAUAAUAUUUUGAACCGCAUGGUUCAAAAGUGAAAGACGGUCUUGCUGUCACUUAUAGAUGGAUCCGCGCUGCAUUAGCUAGUUGGUAAGGUAACGGCUUACCAAGGCAACGAUGCAUAGCCGACCUGAGAGUGUGAUCGGCCACACUGGAACUGAGACACGGUCCAGACUCCUACGGGAGGCAGCAGUAGGGAAUCUUCCGCAAUGGGCGAAAGCCUGACGGAGCAACGCCGCGUGAGUGAUGAAGGUCUUCGGAUCGUAAAACUCUGUUAUUAGGGAAGAACAUAUGUGUAAGUAACUGUGCACAUCUUGACGGUACCUAAUCAGAAAGCCACGGCUAACUACGUG
rnacentral:rRNA from 1 species